UUCUACACACAGUAUCUCUUGUCAAUAUAAUAUGGUUAAUGGCCAGGAAUGCUGGGAGCCACACGAUGCUGGAAGGCAGGUUUUCACUCCUUCUGCCUCUGACACAUGCCCAGUGUUCCUAGCUGUGAAGUGGCCAAGUCUCAUGGGGCUUCCACGGGAGUAA
rnacentral:lncRNA from 1 species